AGUUUCAAAGAUGCAAUCUGUUUUAUUUCUGCACUGUCCGACCAACGAUCCGUUUCGGUAAAUAAUCCUAAGGCAAUAACCAACCAAAAAAACCCAACAAAGUCAAAUCCAUUAAAAGUAGCAAAGUGGGUGAUAAAAUAUUCUGUGGAAUAAAUUGACGUUAUUUUGUAGAAUGGGAAAUAAAUUGUUAUUUUUGGGGCUUUUCUACACGCUACUCUACUGGACUAGCGCCAAAGGAGCUGAGCCCGACCGUUUAGCCAAUACAAUCGAAGAAGAGCAAAGUGUAGUAUAGGAAGCACUAGAAGGUAUGUCCGCGCAAAUAGUAGCAAUGGAGGAACGCUGGAAUCAGAAAUUGUCUAAAGUGUACAACCGCCAAACAAACAGCUUGAAUCAAAAUGUAAAUGAGUUAAGCAAUCAGCUGACAAAAAGUCCAGACGUUGUCACAACUCAGAAACGUCCAGCAGAGUUUGGUAAAUUCCGCAUUAUUUUGCAUGUUCAUCAGGAAGAAACUCGGUUUGAACGCUUUACAAAUUAGCGGUAUCUAAAACAUUCUUUUAUUGCUGAUUGUUUAUGUGAAUUUAUUUUUGUUUUUAGCUUGCGAGAAGAUUACAAACGAGUUGCGUUCGAGUAUAGAGUCCAAUUAUACUGGAAGACCCUCUCACCUGUGGCUUUAUAAAUCUGAUAAUCAACUUUCUAAAUUUUGCAAUGGUGCUUUGAUCGACAAACGUUUUGUUUUAACUUCGUCAGAAUGCAUUCGCACAACUUUACGAAAGUAAGCACUGAGCCUUUCUUAUAUUCAUGGAAAAUGAGAAGAAAAUAAAGGCAAUUCACAUACAUCCUUACUACUCAUCCGAAUCAGUUACCCUUAACAAUAUUGGGUUGGUUGAACUGGAAAGUGACGUGAUUUACACUUCCGAACUAUAUCCCGUGUGCUUAUACGUUUCCCAAUUGAAUCCAGAGGGCGUUGACUGGAUUUAACGGCAGAAUUCAGAUUGUGGCGGAGACUAAAUGUGUUGAUAAGUCUUCUAAUAGCCUGCAGCCAUCACAAAUAUGUGCAAAGAAUUCAGAAUAUCCUUGCAGUUACGCUGGCGAGCCGAUCUUUGUGGAAGAGAAAACGUACGCGAAAUAUCAACUGUUUGGAAUUGGAGCAAAGUGGACAUGCGAUUAUGAACCCCUUGUAAUAACCAAACUGUUUGAGCAACUGAACUUUAUAGAAAACAUUGUUUGGCCGAAAAGUGGAAACUGAAUUUCGAAAGUGAACAGUAUUGCGUUCUAUAAAUGAGCUAAGCAGUUUCUUCUGAUUCCGAAUUUCGAAAAUCGUUGUUUUCUGUGGUCUAGAGCUUAAACCGUAAAAAUGUAGUUUUGACUUUGAAUACUCAAAUGAAAUAUAAACAGACAACCUAAUUCUAAACUUGUAAAGAGUGUCAAGAAAAUGUGGAGCCUUCAACUGGAUACUUGCAAAUUUUAAUUGACACUGCUUUGAUGCAUUACUCCAUCUUAUCUCUCACUUUUACUUUAUAGUACUUUUCGUUUACGAUCUUGUUGGAACUAAUAUAGUUUCAGAAUCUUAAUAUUGGCUACUUAUUCAUCCAAAGCUAGUAUAACCUGAGAAUAUCUAAAUAUAUUAAGUAGAGUAAACAUCGAACAAGUAUAAGAUUACUGUGUCAAAUCUCUUAAAGGGUUAAAGUAUUCUGAAGGGAUCUCUUAUUCCGAUUCUAUAAAUGUAUAUCGCAUAUUAAAUAAUUAAUAAAUUAUGACAUUUAAUAGAUAAUGCAAUUAGAUUCACCAAUUUGGUACAGAUUUUGCUUUAGAGGCUUCAUUGAUCCUUAUUUACUGUUAUGUGGCAUUGAGAACAACACCGUGCUUGCGCAUUUCUAUGUUUAAUAAUUCACAUUAUUUUAGAGAACGUAAUCUAUUUCCAACUGGUCGGCUGCAUAUUCAAGUCGGCGAAGGUGGCAAUGAACUUUCAUUAUGGAUUUAUAAAAAAUAAUAAAGUCAAGGAGCACAACAAUCACUACAAUUCUUCUGAAAUACAUACAUACAUAUAUAGUAUUAUUCACCGUUAUCAUCGAAGUCGCAGUUGACCUUAUAGUGCUUGUUCAUGCAUUUUUUGCAGGAGUUAUAAAUAACUCAAAACGCGCAAAACUGAAUGCGCUGAUAACAUAUUUGAAUAAAAUAAUUACUUGGUGUAUGUGCACCAACGCAAUGAAUGGUCGCUGCUUGCUUACUUUUGGUGUACUCCAUUGCUGUUUUAUUUCAGCAGCAGAGCUAGCUGCUCUCAUGCGAUCAGCUGACGCUAUGUUCUGCUAUUUUUUGUUUUUUUGUUAAGAAACGUUUUUCCCGGAGAAGCUUGGCUAAUUAGCACUAGCUAACUCUAAAACACCUAAUGAGUCAUGUUAAGCUGAAACAAAUGUUUCGGUGAAAUAACUAUAGAAAAUAUAAAUAACUAUAUAAAUAUAUCGUUGUUUUUCAUUAUAGCAUAUCGCUGUAUAUAAUAAUAAAGUAAAAUGUACAUAUAUCCAAAGUUGAAGUAAAAUAUAAAGGUAAGGCAGAAGCAUUAAACAGACACAUGCCAAUAGUACGGACGUCAUCGAUACUGAGGAGAUUAGCAUGGGUACACACAGCAUCUGAAGUGCUUAUAAAUAUUUCGUCUCGUGUCGUCACGAUUAAUGUGAGUAGAACAGUAACUCAGAUGUGUAUGUGUAUAAAUGUACAAAGAGCAAGCCCUCAAUCAAGCGAGCUUUAAAAAAUAUUUAAUAAUGUUGAGUGGCAUUUAAUCUACAGUAGAAUAACGCUGUAUUUUAAAAAAGUCAUUAUGAUAUACAUAUACAUGGCGCUCCAUUUGCUCACGAGAAUGACAACCCGUGCAUGUGCGAUCACUUACGCUCUUGUAACACAUGCUAAGGCUCCGCCCAUGCCUGCUCGUAGAUGGGAGACUAGUGAAAUUUGCUUUGGAGCAACAAUCUGUUUGGUAAAUACGCAACAUACACUAUAAAUGGAUUAGCAUAUUUCCUCAAAUCACACUGCUCAUUCGUUGGUCGGUGAUCGUAUAUAUAAUAUUUACUUAGCUAACUGUAUAUAAUAUAUGUACAUAGUUGUGUGUAGCAUUCUGUCGUAAUGACUGGAGAACACACAUGUAACACAUGUUAUUUGGAUAGAGACUCGGUUUCAUCUCCUCUUCAGCUCUUCUCUUGGAAGCAGUUUCAUUUAAAUAUUUCCUUCAGUUUAAAAUAAAUUUAAACGGUUAAUAUUCAUACGAACGGUUACAAACCGGAUAUUCGAAUAAUUGGUUUUCGGGUUAUUCGAAUAAUUUUAAGAGCCCUAAUACAUACCUGAGCAACAUGUUGCGUGAGAACAAAAAGUAGCGUAAAGAAACUGUGGUGAUCUGCAUUCUUAUCAUUCGUGAAAUUGAUGUGAAAUUUUAUGCUUUCCAAACACCGUCGCUUGAGUGACGGUGUCCCUCCACUGUUUCUAAUUCAGUACUCUUUUGCGGUUCUCUCAACAGUAGAAUGAUUCUAUUUACAAUAUUUGACAAAAUCGCGCCCAAUAACUGAUAAAAAGCUUCAGAGACGAAAUCAGUUUUAUUUCUGCGCGGUAUCAAAACGGAUCGCGUGUUAUUAACCAAUUGAAAUUAUUUUGUAAUAUGGAAAAUAAACUGAUAUUUCUUGGACUUCUUUUCGCGCUACUACGCACGCAAAAGAGGCGGACCCCGACCCCUACCUUGAUGUUGGGUCCAUAACUAUAUAUGUAGACGCCGGUAAGGAAAUAAACAAUUACCUAACUUUGAGUAAACAAAUCGAAAAAACACAAAAUCUUAUAGAAAGUGCGCUGGAAAGAAUGUCUGACGAAAACAAAGCAAUGACAAAAAGAAUUUCUGACUAAGCUAAAGCAACAGAGGAAAAAUGUAAUCAACAAGUGACAGCGGAGGCCAAAGCAACAGAGGAAAGGUUAAAUCAACGAGUGCCAGAGGAGGUCAAAGCUACAGAGGAAAGAAAGCUACAGAGGAAAGGUGGGAUUAAACUUGAAUAAUAUUACAUCAAUAUGUAUUUUUAUAGCGCUGGGAUCCAAAAUAUAUUAUAUAUAAGUUUCUAUUUACUCUAUUCCAACAUAUUUGCUUCCGUUACUUUUUAUUUAAUGGUUUUCUUGCAAAUCUCCUUACAGCUCAGAAGUCGCCACACCCGACAAACGUCCAGCAGAGCGUGCUUGCGAGGAAACAAAAAAGGAUUUACGAUCGCUUGGACAGAUCGAAUUUUUUGACUUUGCCUACUACGUAUUUAAGCUUUUCACACCUAGUUCUAACAUUUCUAAAA